rnacentral:rRNA from 3 species
AAAUUGAAGAGUUUGAUCAUGGCUCAGAUUGAACGCUGGCGGCAGGCCUAACACAUGCAAGUCGAACGGUAACAGGAAGCAGCUUGCUGCUUCGCUGACGAGUGGCGGACGGGUGAGUAAUGUCUGGGAAACUGCCUGAUGGAGGGGGAUAACUACUGGAAACGGUGGCUAAUACCGCAUAACGUCGCAAGACCAAAGAGGGGGACCUUCGGGCCUCUUGCCAUCAGAUGUGCCCAGAUGGGAUUAGCUUGUUGGUGAGGUAACGGCUCACCAAGGCGACGAUCCCUAGCUGGUCUGAGAGGAUGACCAGCCACACUGGAACUGAGACACGGUCCAGACUCCUACGGGAGGCAGCAGUGGGGAAUAUUGCACAAUGGGCGCAAGCCUGAUGCAGCCAUGCCGCGUGUAUGAAGAAGGCCUUCGGGUUGUAAAGUACUUUCAGCGGGGAGGAAGGUGUUGCGGUUAAUAACCGCAGCAAUUGACGUUACCCGCAGAAGAAGCACCGGCUAACUCCGUGCCAGCAGCCGCGGUAAUACGGAGGGUGCAAGCGUUAAUCGGAAUUACUGGGCGUAAAGCGCACGCAGGCGGUCUGUCAAGUC